GCGUUAUCUGAGUGAUGACCUGGAAUCUGAUCAACCAGAUCAACACCAACACUGAAGAAGCAAAAUAUUAAAGUGUGUACAUUUGUGGACCGAUUACGUCACAGCAACACGACGAAGGCUAUCCGAAUUCUAAGGCUCCUCCAGAUGCGGCUCACACGUGCAUCCUUCGUUUCCCAUUUUUUGAAAGGGUUGCAAGUAUCCCGGGUCAGGAGAGGGAGAGAGUGGGAAGCUCACUGCUGCUGCUGGGCCCUGGGCCAAGUGCAGCAGUGGGUAACCAAGAGGAGGAGGAGGAAAGUCAGCCAGCACCACCAGGAGUGAGAAAGAGAGACUGAGAAGAAGAGCUGAUUGAGUUAUUG